ACACACCUUUUCAUUUGAUUCAGGAACGAGACAUCCAAUGUUGCCAUGACGUGAUAUAAAUGACUGAAAUUCCUCAUCAGAAGUAACAAAUUCUUUAGCAUCUCUUAACGCAUCCUCGCCGGUAUUUUCACCUCCAAUUAAAAGACACUGAAACACCUAAAAGAGUAAAAAGAAAUAUAGAUGUAUAUUUUGAACUAUAUAUAGUACUUUGUACUUAGUGCGCACACUUCUCGUCUCAUGCCGGUGGAAAUUUGAUUCAGGGGUGUAUAGUAGAUUACUUUGCAUCCCCGCCUUGCUAAAGUUCCAAG